AAUUUCUUAAAAAAAAAACAAAAACGAAUAAACGAAACCGAAUGCCCACACGGGCGGCCACCCGCCGGCACACCGCCCUGUCCGCCGCCAUCCCCUCCUCCUCGUCACGGCAAUGGGGCUCUUCCAGCGGCGGCCGCCCUCUCCGCCGCCUUCCCCGGGCGAGUACCCCGGUUGCGGCGCGCGCGCGGGGGGUUAGGGGAGGAGCAAAACCAACGCCGUCGUGGAGGUCACCAUCGAUAAGGUCAGGGCGCGCCCGCCCCGACGGCGCUUCCCCCCGUCCGCGUCCGCCUCCGCCCUGGGAUCGAGGGUCGCAGCCCCUGUGAGCUCAAGGGCGCCGCCGUGGCCAAGAUCCAAGGCAGGCGCUCGCCCCCACGACUCCAUGCGCUUCAGGUCUCUACACCCUCCCAAAUCUUACUUCUUCACCAUAUAAGCUCAAUUCCAUCUACGAACUAACUAAUGGUAUGAAUUAUUGUGAUUCGUAGCAAAAAUUCUUGUUUCGUAUUUUGUUGUAUAAGGUUGAAGUCUAUGUAUACAUACGCAUUUGCCUAAACUGGUUGGCGGAGAACUGUGGAAUUUAUUCAAAUAAUUCAGUUUGUGAUACAUUAUCAAGGUUAGUUCAUUGCCAGCAUGUUCAAUUCAAUUUUCAGGCUGUAAUUCCACGGUUAAGUCUACAUUUUGAUGCCCCACACUGAUUCUGCCAAUGGUAAGUCUAAAACUAGGCAAUAAUUAACACAUUGGUGCAGUUUGCGUUCUACUUGAAACCAUAUUAAUUGAAAUAUGAAAUAUUUGCCGUCAUGAACCAAAAUGAAGGAAAUACAGUCCACAAAUUCAGCCAUCUACAUUGAAUUUAAUAGCAUGGCUGUCUGCUCUCAUUUCAUUCAUUUUGUUUUACCUCCCAGGUUAUUAUGUUUUUUCCCCCACAAAUUGAGGCAUCUAUAUUGAUUUGUUUUAAGUUCAAAACAGUCAAGUGUAUGCUUGUAUGUUUUACAUACUACUGAAUAGAAGGAGAGCAUAGAAGAGGUGAAUUGGAUAGCAUCACUGCAUCAGAUUUAUGCUGGUUCUUUUAUACUUGCUACUAGCUUUGGCUGAAGAUUCAAGGGAUACCUGGAAUAGGAGGGCAAGGAAUCAAGUAUAGACUGAUUAUACUUUUAAAGUUUUUAAAGCCUCUACUCACCAGUACUUCAUAAACUCCAUAUUCCUCGAGUUUUCAAAUGCAGAUGAUGUGCAAAUAUGUUUCUGCUAAUUGCAUGUAGGAAUCUGUAUUUUGGUCUUGACUAGCUCAAAAUCAGCGAUUUCGGUUGAUGGAGCUGAUUCAUUGUGCUUUUGCCAUUGCCAGGGUGUAGGUAGAAAUUCCUGGCUGCUUUUUUUGUUCAUCCGAAACCUUGGAGAUAAAAACGGCCAUUUGGAGGAUCUCAAUAGUUUCCCUUUCAAAAAAUUAUAGCUCUUACUAUUGGUGGACACAUGUGGAUCUGUAAACUAGAGAGCACCAGAAUUGCACAGCAGUUCAGACUUCACUUGAUUCAGCUACCAUUGCUACACAACUCAGGCCGAUGUCUAUCUAACGUUGGAUUGAAGUACAACAGCUUGCAGAACAGUGACAGUAGCACAGCACAUUCAUUUUUUUUCUACAAGACAGAACACAAGAGAUUUGGUUGAGCUCUCACACAGUUGACACUUGACAGUCCGGCUGCAUAUACAAGUUGCAAUGUGCAAUACGUAAGACCAUGCCUCUUUGCAAUCAUUUAUCCAGGACAGAAUCAAGUAGUAGAAAAAGGAUAAAGAGGCACCAGCAUCUUCUGCUCCUGCCUUGAGAAAUCUGGGAGAAACACAAAUUGGAACUGCAGAAUUUGACGCUAACAAAGCCAUUCAGGACAUUACUUUUUUUUUUCAUGUUAGUGAUGGUGCAAUUGAUACUCACCUGCCAAAUACAUAUAUUCCUUGGGCAUGGUACUAUUGAGUCAUUUUUCUUACUCAUGUGCAAGAAUAUUUUUUUUUCCUUACACAAUUCUGAUCUCAAGUCCCAACGCCUCUCCUAGACAGCUUGAAAGAAAAAUUGGACAACUCCAAGACCUGAAGAACUCUGCGCAAGAAGUUUCAUCAGAUGACACACUUCAGAUGUUUCAUGAGAGCAUUCUUCAGAGUAGCCAUUCAUUAGAGGAACCACAUGCAACACUAAAGAGAGCUACAGAUUCCAGUAGGUUGCAAUUUCUCUCAGAGGAUGUUGCGAUGCUGUGUUGCAUGAAUGCCCAGAUAUGAAAGAAAGUGGAGAAUUGACAUGAGAUUCAUAAACAGGUUGGCAGAAUAGCAAGCACCACCAACCCUAUUGCCGGCAGAGUCUCUACUUGCAUCGAAUUGCAGUUUGCUUAACAUCAAGGGAUUCAAGAUGUUGAUUCAGGGGUGGUGUUGGAGAUGGAAGUGAUUCGAUUCCUUGAUCCGGCAACCCUGGUUUCCUGUUUCAAACUCAGAAAUUCUUAAGAAUGUUUGUAGAUCAUAGAAGCCUUUCCUGCUCCUGCUAGCUGUAACCGGUUUUGUAUCUGUAACAGCAGUAAACUAAACUCGCAAUAUGAACUUACAAUUAUAAUUUUUUUUUCCCCUGAAGUUUGUUAUUUGCAUGUUCUGCCCUCACUAAACAUUUCACUGGAACUUUGGCAGUUGCUAAGUAAGAAAUAAAUUGUUUACUUAACUUUCCUAGA